GAUGAACGCUAGCUACAGGCUUAACACAUGCAAGUCGAGGGGAAACGACAUCGAAAGCUUGCUUUUGAUGGGCGUCGACCGGCGCACGGGUGAGUAACGCGUAUCCAACCUGCCCACCACUUGGGGAUAACCUUGCGAAAGUAAGACUAAUACCCAAUGAUAUCCCACGAAGGCAUCCGAAUGGGAUUAAAGAUUUAUCGGUGAUGGAUGGGGAUGCGUCUGAUUAGCUUGUUGGCGGGGUAACGGCCCACCAAGGCGACGAUCAGUAGGGGUUCUGAGAGGAAGGUCCCCCACAUUGGAACUGAGACACGGUCCAAACUCCUACGGGAGGCAGCAGUGAGGAAUAUUGGUCAAUGGGCGAGAGCCUGAACCAGCCAAGUAGCGUGCAGGACGACGGCCCUAUGGGUUGUAAACUGCUUUUAUACGGGAAUAAAGUGGGCCACGCGUGGCUUUUUGCAUGUACCGUAUGAAUAAGGACCGGCUAAUUCCGUG
rnacentral:rRNA from 1 species